rnacentral:rRNA from 1 species
UACGUAGGGGGCUAGCGUUGUCCGGAAUCAUUGGGCGUAAAGCGCGCGUAGGCGGCCAGAUAAGUCCGGUGUGAAAGCCACAGGCUCAACCUGUGAAUGCCGCUGGAAACUGUCUGGCUAGAGUCCGGAAGAGGAGAGUGGAAUUCCUGGUGUAGAGGUGAAAUUCGUAGAUAUUCGCAAGAACACCAGUGGCGAAGGCGGCUCACUGGCCCGAUACUGACGCUGAGGCACGAAAGCGUGGGGAGCGAACAGG